GGGUUCUUAGUUUAAUGGUAAAAUAUCGGUCUCCAAAACCGUAUGAUCUGAGUUCGAGUCUUAGAGGGCCUGCCA
rnacentral:tRNA from 1 species